UACGUAGGGGGCAAGCGUUGUCCGGAUUUAUUGGGCGUAAAGCGCGUGUAGGCGGCUUGGUAGGUCAGCUGUGAAAACUCGAGGCUCAACCUCGAGCUGUCGGUUGAAACCACCUUGCUAGAGUCCGGAAGAGGAGAGUGGAAUUCCUGGUGUAGCGGUGAAAUGCGUAGAUAUCUGGAAGAACACCGGUGGCGAAGGCGGCAUCCUGGACCGGUAUUGACGCUGAUGCGCGAAAGCCAGGGGAGCAAACGGG
rnacentral:rRNA from 1 species